GUAAGACCCCUUGUAGACGACGAGGUAGAUAGGUUGGAGGUGGAAGUGCAGCAAUGCAUGGAGCUGACCAAUACUAAUCGGUCGAGGGCUUAUCCAA
rnacentral:rRNA from 2 species